rnacentral:piRNA from 1 species
CAUGCCAGAGUAACUGGAGAGACUUUGACA